rnacentral:lncRNA from 1 species
CCUGGAGGGCCGAGGCGACAUCGUAUACUCAUGAAAACGGAUUUGAAGCAUCAUGGCACAUAACCGAAGACCUUUAAUUUUCGGAUCGUGAAUUGGAGGCCUUUCGGGUGGUCGCGCGAGAGAUCGGGCCAAACCGGGUGCCGGGUGCCGCGGAGGCCGAUUGCAAGUGUCGACAAGCAAUCGGAAUGCGAUAAAAGGUGGGGGGUGUCAUCCCGAAGCAACUGAGCUUCCUUUUAUGUCUAAGUUCUAUAUCUUGAUCAUAUUCCUAUAUAUUGAUAUAUUGUGCAUUAUAGGAUUAGUAGAUGAUUACAUUUCCGUUCCUUGCAUGUUACCUAGGUUGUGUAGCAUUGUGGGCCUGACACUUGAUCUUAGGUUGCAUGAGGAUGGGGUCUUGUGACAAGAAUCCUAUAGUGACAAGAAUGAUGAUGAACUUGGACAUGUAAUUGGCCUAGACGAGUGGCAUUUGGACUAGUGUAACAAAGACACUAUAAUAUUGACGAGUGGCAUGUCGAUUUAGUGUAUUAAGACACAUAUAACAUCAUGACAUAAACGAGUGGCAUCAAAUCUAGUGUAGUGAAACACUAUGGCAUUUGAACCUAGGGAUAGUAGAUUUUCCCGAUUGUCAUGUUGUAGACAUUAUGCAUUUGGCAUUAGUGCAUUUGAGGCAUUGAUUAUGCAUUUGGUAUUGUGCAGCAGAGGCACAUUGACCCUGGUAGAUAGGGUAUCCUCUUGUGAGGAUUGGAUCAUACUCACUAGUCUGUUUUUGCUUGUCGGUGGUCGCUCCACCGAAGCACGAGUCUCCGGAGUACUUCACUAGGGGCAGACGUAGUUGUCCCGCAGACGGUCUCGGUGUGCGAGUGCAGAUUCUCCUCACCUAUGAGAUUGAAAGUGAGUCGGGGUUGACCCCGGGGUGGCAACCUUCAGGUUAGCCAUGAGAUUGGAUACUAUCGAGGCAUAGUUGCACGACGCACUAUGUAGUAGCUCGUUCAUUCGGAUUAUUGAGGCAUAGUAGCAUGUGCAGAUACAUCACUAUGUAGUAGCUCAUUUCUAAGCAGAUUGGGUAAAGAAUAUGAAUGGCAUAGCAUAUUUGAAUUCAUACCUUGAGUUGACAUUGAGACAUAGUAGCAUGUUGUAGAUACAUCACUAUGUAGUAGCUCAUUUCUAUUAUUGUUGAAGCAUAGUAUCAUGAUUAGUAGAAUAUCAUUGCUAUGUUCAUACAUUCCAUGAUUACAGAGGCAUAGUAGCAUGUGUGUAUUCCAUUACUAUGUAGCAGCUCGUACUUAGUAGAGCGAGAUUGAGUCGGGCGAGGAGCGGGGUAGCUCUUUGCCUAGGACCUUCGAGAUUGAGUCGGGCAAGGAGCGGGGUAGCUCUUUGUCUAGGACCUUUGAGAUUUGAGAUCUUAGGCAAGUUGGCCUAGUCGAUUGGGUUGUAACAUGAAUAGCAUAAGUGGAUUGCAUUCAUGCCAUGAUUGGACAUAGUAGACUGCAUAACUUUAUUGUAGUUGUAUUUAUUACACUGUUGAAGCAUACUAGCAUGAUAGUAGGUUAUUGCUAGCUGAUGUUCCAUGCAUUCUUUGCAUUUGAUGGCAUAGUAGAUAUAGUAGCAAUGUAUUUCUAUCUACCUUUCUAUCUAUCUAUCUGUGCCAGCUUGGACCUAGUGGGAAAACCGGCGGCGUCGGCGGCCGAACCCACUGGGAACUAUAUUUAUAUAGUUCUCACCCCGUGUGGUUUUGGGGUACAGGUACACACGAGAGCGUACCGGCAGAGGAUCGUGGUAAGGGCACAGCGCCCUAGUAGCUAGCAGCUUUCCUUAUGCAUUAGAGUACCCUCGUGUACAUAGAGAUGUAAAUGUAU